rnacentral:tRNA from 1 species
GACGGAAAGGACUGACUGGUGAAGUCACCGUUAACAGCGGCAGAGGCAAGUUCGAUUCUUGCUUCCGAUG